AGAGUAUCUUGUGCUCUGGUCACACUUCUCUUCUGCAUGAAAUCCCAAAUCACACACAGAACCUCCCUUAUCAUGCUUGUACAUCAUAGAAAACAGUCAUGUUAUACCAGAUAAUUGAGGUUACUGGUUUUACACUACAAAAACUUUUCCACGGUUAUAGCUUUAUUGGUCUAAGUAACAGUGUUUUUCUUAUUUACUUUUUUCCUUUUGCUGUUUCUGUGGAGAAAAAAUGGAAUGCAGAGACUUGAAAAAUGAGCUGAACCUUUCGCUAGAUGAUCAAACGAUGAGAAGAGUCACGCCAAGAGACAGUGUGAAGAAAAUCAGCUGCUCGGCUUAGACAAAGAGAAAGAUCUUCUGAUCAAUUGGACAGAAAGCAGAUUUCACAAAGAACUAGCAAGCGCUUCCUGACCAACUGAGACCUCAAACUCCGGCGCAGCAGUUUCCCACUGCAGGAUAGGAUUUUCCCAUGGGACCUGCUUCAGCAAGGGCUGGGCUGAAGCAUGCGUUGGUCUGCAAAAUGAGCGAUCCGCUCCUGUACCACACUGCAAAACUGAGAAGCGAGCAUCAGCUCAGGCCUCCCACCCUCUCUGUCGCUCCCCGUGCCGCCACGCUCUCAUCUGUGGAAGCAAGCGGCGACAAGACCCCUUCUGACCCGGAGGACAGCCCCGCCGCCUAAACGCCGUGGUGAAGGUCGGCUCGAGAGCAUCUCGCCCGUCUCCAGCCGCCCCUGCGAGAGCCAAGCUCUUGCGUUGCGCUGGCCAGCCCUCUGCCAAUACCCGAGACUCCCCACCGUGUCCCAGCCCACGUGAGGUGCCUAUAUUGAGGCAACCAAAUUGAGCAAACGUAAUUAGCCAGGCCUGGGAGGGGGGGGCACAGGAGCAGCCUUGGGGGGCCGCAGCUUUUGCUGCAGCUCAGGCAGCUGCUGCCUUAACGGAGCCUGGAAGGAGCAACCUGCCACCAAGGGAUGCAGCAUCGGGAGAGCAUCGGGCACAAGUCUUCGAAAAAGUAGGCGAGUUUCAGCCCUUGCCACUCAUUUUGGGUUCGUUUAAAUUGCCCAGGUUUCUAGUUUUUAAUCCCAAUAAAGUGACUUCUUUGUG